AGCAACAAGCAAGACCUAGGUGUAAAUCGUUGUUGCUUUCAAAAUAAAACCAGCUGGAUAAAAAUCGCCCGUGAAGAAGAACCGUACAAUCGUUCAGGUUAUGGUUAAGGUGUUAUGGCUCAGAUAACAAAGUAAUGCAACUUUAGCUGAAAAAAGGAAAUGUACAUAAUGAGUACGUAUUUGGUCAUGUUAAACGUUGUAUUUCAAUAUGGGUUUUAUUUUGAAACUUGGGAAGGGACGUCUCUCUAACUUUGGAGUUAGUUACACCUUGCUGCGUCCCACCCAUAAAACCUGUGUGCAUUUGCCAUAAAAGUGCACAGGUGGGUCUGUGAGACGUGGACAGAGGACAGCUACGGACCCAAAUGGAGAGCAAGACUCCGUCCAAAGGUCCUGUCGGAGCAGGUGCCUGUGGUCUGCAGCCCCUUCCUGAGGUAGCCGAGCCCGAAGACCUGAGCAAUGUGGAGGGCAGCAAGUGCCAACCCGGACACCCUGCAGGGGCAAGAGAUGCAAAGGAGGUGCACUCAUUGGACAGCUCUCCGUCUUCCUCGGAGAGCGAGGACGAGGGUCUCUGCAAGAAAGACAAGAAGAAGAAAAAGCUGAAAAAGAAAACAAAGAAGAAGAAGAAGAAGGAUUCCAGCUCAUCCUCUUCCUCCUCCUCCUCCUCCUCCUCCUCCUCCAGUAGCUCUUCAGAGAGUGACAGCGAGGAUGACAAGAAGAAGAAGAAGAAAAAGCAGAAGAAGGACGAAGGGCAGAAAGAGUGUGUCCGGGACGAUGUUAUCAUAUGUAGUCCUGGUGGCCAGAUGGAGCAGCCGGGUGCAGAAGGUGCAGAAGGUGUGAAGAUGAGCCAGGAUUGUAACUCCUCAGAUGGUGAAGAUGACAAGAAGAAGAAGAAGAAGAAGAAGAAGAAGAAGAAGAAGCAGGACAAGAAGAAGAAGAAAAAGAAGAAGGAUUCGUCUUCUUCCUCAUCUGACUGUUCCUGCUCCGACUGCGAGGACGAAAAGAAGAAGAAGAAGAAGAAGAAGAAGAAGAAGAGGAAGAAGAAGGACUCAAGCUCCUCUUCCUCAGACAGCUCUUCAUCAUCCUCUGACAGCGAGGAUGACAAGAAGAAAAAGGACAAGAAGAAGAAGAAGAAGAAAAAGAAAGACAAGAAAAAGGAUUCCAGCUGCUCGUCUUCAUCUUCAUCUUCUGACAGUGAUAAAGAUGAGAAGAAAAAGAAGAACAAGAAGAAGAAGAAGAAGAAGAAGAAGAAGAAUGACAAGGAAAAGAAGAACAAGAAACACGAUGAAGAGCAGAAUGAGCUCUGCGGUGGAGCUGCUCCUCCAGCUUCUGGUGAGUGUUUUUCUGCAGGUGGUGAGACUCCGGGACCAAGUGCUGAUGGAGAGAAAAAGAAAGACGAUUCUGCCGACAAGGUCAAGAAAGAGCCUAAAGAAAAAGAAAAAUGUGGAGCAAAGGCCUUCGCUGACGCUAUUGAGGAAGGCCACCUGAGUGACGACGAGGGAGAAGGAGAGAACCACAAGAAGAAGAAGAAGAAGAUGCUGAAGAAGAAGAAGGAGAAGGGUUCCGGCUCAUCAUCAGACAGUGAUGACGACGAAGAAGACAAGAAGAAGAAAAAGAAGAAGAAGGAGAAGGACUCCUCCAGCUCCUCCUCUUCGUCUGAUAGUUGCUCCUCAGAUAGUGAUGAGGACAAGAAGAAGAAGAAGAAGAAGAAGAAGAAGGAUUCUGGAUCCUGCUCGUCUUCUUCAUCCUCUGAUAGCGAAGAGGACAAGAAGAAGAAGAAGAAGAAGAAGAAGAAGAAGAAGAAGAAAAAGAAGAAGAAGAUGAAGGAUAAGGACUCCUCCUCUUCUUCAUGCUCGGAUAGUGAAGAGGACAAGAAGAAGAAGAAGAAGAAGAAGAAGAAGAAGAAGACGAAGAAGAAGAAGAAGGAUAAGGACUCGUCCUCUCCUUCAUGCUCUGAUACUGAAGAGGACAAGAAGAAGAAGAAGAAGAAGAAGAAGAAGUCCUCUUGCGCUGAGAGUGAUGACGACAAGAAGAAGAAGAAGAAAGAUAAGAAGAAGAAGAAGAAAAAGAAGGAUUGUUCCUCUGGAUCGUCCAGUGAUUCGAGUGAUAAUGACAAGAAGAAGAAGAAGAAGAAGAAGAAGAAGAAAAGGAAAGAUAAGAAGAAAAAGAAAGACAAGAAGAAGGACUCCGAUUCUUCUACCAGUGCUGAUGACAAAAAGAAGAAGAAAGACAAGAAGAAGAAAAAGAAGGACAAAAAGAAGGACUCAAAGUCCAGUUCAUCGUGUCCAUCUGACGGCAGUGACAAGGAGAAUAAAAAGGACAAGAAGAAGAAGAGGUCUGGUUCAUCAGGAAGUGAAACUGACAAUAAGAAAAAGAGGGAAUGCUCUGAUGGCGAGCGAGGCGGCGAAGAUCCCGGUGCCGGUCGGGCCGGACUUUCAGCUCCCGGUGGCAGCUGCUCUACGCCUGCCGCUGCUCCCGCCGUCCCCUACGUGUCCCUCCCCUCCAAACCUGUUGUGAAGAUGGAUCCUCUGCGUCCUUCAACUGUCUGCCGGCCCUCUGCCCCUGUCUCCUCUGCCCCCGCCUCUUCUGCCCCUGUCUCCUCUGCCCCCGCCUCUUCUGCCCCUGUCUCCUCUGCGCCCGCCUCUUCUGCCCCUGUCUCCUCUGCGCCCGCCUCUUCUGCCCCCGCCUCUUCUGCCCCUGUCUCCUCUGCGCCCGCCUCUUCUGCCCCUGUCUCCUCUGCGCCCGCCUCUUCUGCCCCUGUCUGCUCUGCCCCCGCCUCUUCUGUCCCUGGGUCCUAUGUCCCUGGGUCCUUUGUCGCUGGCUCCUAUGUCCCUGGGUCCUAUGUCCCCGGCUCCUCGAGUGUUGGAGAUAAGGCCCCCAAUCGUAGGCCUCCCAGCCCCAUGGAGGCCCUGAUGGGGAGCCCGAGGCGGUACGGCUCCUCCCAUCUCAGCUCAAGCGACCUAUUGAAAGGCCCCAAGCCUUAUCAAUGAUGAGAUCAAAACACGCGUUACUCGUGUUUCCUUUUAAAGCAACUGGAGGAUGUCGACCAUGAGAGGAGAUAUGAUUCCUUGAUUUCAUGCUGGAUAAAUGUGAUGACUGGUGGAAAAACGUAUUGUGACACGAUGAAAAUGUCCAAGAUGAGAAGUAUAAUCCAAACAUGGAAAGUCACGAUUGUGUUUUUAAUCAAUAAAGCGCACAUGUGUAAUAAUACUACAGUCUUCUAUGUGUUUUGUUUCAUGUCUCAGGUUUAUGCUGCCUUCAGGGGGC
ensembl:lncRNA